UAUGGUUAAGUGACUAAGCGUACACGGUGGAUGCCUAGGCAGUUGGAGGCGAUGAAGGACGUACUAACUUGCGAUAAGCCAUGAUAAGCCAGUAAGAGGCACUUGAGUCAUGGAUUUCCGAAUGGGGAAACCCAGUGUGCUUGCACACUAUCCGGCACUGAAUCAAUAGGUGCCAGGAAGCGAACCCGGAGAACUGAAACAUCUAAGUACCCGGAGGAAAAGAAAUCAACCGAGAUUUCCCCAGUAGCGGCGAGCGAACGGGAA
rnacentral:rRNA from 1 species